rnacentral:lncRNA from 1 species
UGACAAAUCAAUGAAGCCUUGAAGGCCUAGGCCGCCUUUGCGACGCAACACCUGAGUGAUUCAACUGUCAUGGCCCCGUUGCUGCUCCUUUCCAGCCAGAGCACUCCUGAUGGACAAUGGCCAUGCUUGCACUGGUUCAGGUUGUUGUGCAAGGAGUCAAUGAGACAUCCCGCCUCUUCAAGGCGCUCAGCAAAAUGAUGAUUGAUGGGAGUAAAGAGAACCAGCCCCAGAUGAGAAUGCAGGACCCCAGUCUCCUUAAAUCUCAACAUCAACCUGGAGCUGCUGCAAAGAGUUGAAGACGGCAACAACAUCAAGAUCAUCUGGCAUGACUUCCUCAGUAACGGUGGCGAGGAGGACUGAGAAUUAUGGCAUUGUGCAGUGGUCUGAAUUGCACGCACUGCGCAUGCAUUAUGCAGUUCACUUCUUGUGCUGAAGCUUCUGAACAGACAUGAGCGUGGGGUGACAUGGUUGCUUGCAAAUGCAGACUGCAGAAUGAAGGCAUUGAAGUGAAUUGCUUAGAUUGCCUGAAUCAUGUGUACAUCUCGCAGUGCACUUUCUGUAUGAUGGUGCCCAAGCUUCUUAGCAGGUAUGCGCAUGCUGGCAUUGUACAGUGAUGCCAGUGCAAACUGCAGAAUGAUUUCUUAUGGGCGUUACGGUGGACGGCUCCGAUUGUGUAUACACUCUGCAGUUCCUUUCCUGCCAGGAGCCUGCAGUGAGCCUGUUAACGGAUGACUCAAGCCUACCACCUCUUUCAUGAU